UACGAAGGGGGCUAGCGUUGCUCGGAAUUACUGGGCGUAAAGGGCGCGUAGGCGGACAUUUAAGUCAGGGGUGAAAUCCCGGGGCUCAACCUCGGAAUUGCCUUUGAUACUGAGUGUCUUGAGUAUGAGAGAGGUAUGUGGAACUCCGAGUGUAGAGGUGAAAUUCGUAGAUAUUCGGAAGAACACCAGUGGCGAAGGCGACAUACUGGCUCAUUACUGACGCUGAGGCUCGAAAGCGUGGGGAGCAAACAGG
rnacentral:rRNA from 1 species